rnacentral:rRNA from 1 species
UACGUAGGGGGCUAGCGUUGUCCGGAAUCAUUGGGCGUAAAGCGCGCGUAGGCGGCCCGGUAAGUCCGCUGUAAAAGUCCAGGGCUCAACCCUGGAACGCCGGUGGAUACUGUCGGGCUAGAGUCCGGAAGAGGAGAGUGGAAUUCCUGGUGUAGCGGUGAAAUGCGCAGAUAUCAGGAAGAACACCAAUGGCGAAGGCAGCUCUCUGGGACGGUACUGACGCUGAGACGCGAAAGCGUGGGGAGCGAACAGG